rnacentral:rRNA from 1 species
UGGGGAAUAUUGGACAAUGGGCGCAAGCCUGAUCCAGCCAUGCCGCGUGAGUGAUGAAGGCCCUAGGGUUGUAAAGCUCUUUCACCGGUGAAGAUAAUGACGGUAACCGGAGAAGAAGCCCCGGCUAACUUCGUGCCAGCAGCCGCGGUAAUACGAAGGGGGCUAGCGUUGUUCGGAAUUACUGGGCGUAAAGCGCACGUAGGCGGAUCGAUCAGUUAGGGGUGAAAUCCCGGGGCUCAACCCCGGAACUGCCUCUAAUACUGUCGAUCUGGAGUUCGAGAGAGGUGAGUGGAAUUCCGAGUGUAGAGGUGAAAUUCGUAGAUAUUCGGAGGAACACCAGUGGCGAAGGCGGCUCACUGGCUCGAUACUGACGCUGAGGUGCGAAAGCGUGGGGAGCAAACG